rnacentral:rRNA from 1 species
GAUGAACGCUAGCGCUAGGCUUAACACAUGCAAGUCGAGGGACCGGCUCACGGGUGCGUAACGCGUAUGCAACUUGCCUCACAGAGGGGGAUAACCCGUCGCAAGACGGACUAAUACCGCGUACUGUGCGUUAGGCAUGCGUCCCAUUAGCUAGUUGGUGAGGUAACGGCUCACCAAGGCAACGAUGGGUAGGGGAACUGAGAGGUUGAACCACCACACUGGUACUGAGACACGGACCAGACUCCUACGGGAGGCAUCAGUGAGGAAUAUUGGUCAAUGGGCGAGAGCCUGAACCAGCCAAGUCGCGUGAAGGAUGACUGUCUAUGGAUUGUAAACUUCUUUUGUAGGGGAAUAUGUACCCUACGAAUAAGCAUCGGCUAACUCCGUGCCAGCAGCCGCGGUAAUUC